rnacentral:rRNA from 1 species
UGGGGAAUUGUUCGCAAUGGACGCAAGUCUGACGACGCAACGCCGCGUGGAGGAUGAAGACCUUCGGGUCGUAAACUCCUUUCGACCGAGAUGAAGAGACGCCCAUCUAAUACAUGGGCGUAUUGACAGUAUCGAGGGAAGCAGCCCCGGCUAACUCCGUGCCAGCAGCCGCGGUAAUACGGGGGGGGCAAGCGUUGUUCGGAAUUACUGGGCGUAAAGGGUCUGUAGGUGGCUCACUAAGCCACACGUGAAAUCCCUCAGCUUAACUGGGGAACUGCGUGUGGGACUGGAGAGCUUGAGGACAGGAGAGGAACGCGGAAUUCCAGGUGUAGCGGUGAAAUGCGUAGAUAUCUGGAGGAACACCGGUGGCGAAGGCGGCGUUCUGGACUGUUUCUGACACUGAAAGACGAAAGCCAGGGGAGCAAACGGGAUUAGAUACCCCCGUAGUCC